rnacentral:rRNA from 1 species
UCCUACGGGGGGCAGCAGUGAGGAAUAUUGGUCAAUGGCCGAGAGGCUGAACCAGCCAAGUCGCGUGAGGGAAGACGGCCCUACGGGUUGUAAACCUCUUUUGUCGGGGAGCAAAGCGAACCACGUGUGGUUCAUUGAGAGUACCCGAAGAAAAAGCAUCGGCUAACUCCGCGCCAGCAGCCGCGGUAAUACGGAGGAUGCGAGCGUUAUCCGGAUUUAUUGGGUUUAAAGGGUGCGCAGGCGGCACGGCAAGCCGGCGGUCAAAUCGCGGGGCUCAACCCCGCCCAGCCGUCGGAGCUGCCGGG